rnacentral:sRNA from 1 species
CACUUCGGUCCGGAGUUGAUGGGUUAUCUACGAAUCUUCUUCUGCUUGCAGAGGAAACCCGUUCUUCAGAUGCAAGUCUGUUGAACACCCCGCAGCCUUCAAACAGUUGCAAACCCUUCCCAUCAACACCAACUUGACCGUUGU